GUCAAAGCAUUUUGUCGUAGACCCUCGACAAAGUGAUUCAUACUUUCCUUCGCCGACGCAAUAUUACGUUCUUCUCCAUCACCAUGGUCAGCUGCAAGUUGAAAAUUUUCCUGGCUCUUUCUAUAUUCGCGAUGAUCUACAUUGCAGUGUCUAAUGCAACCAUCUACGGUUGUACACCGGAAAAGGGGUGUUCGGUGGAGGGCUGCCGGAAGGCAUAUCCAAAUGACUACAACGGGGAGCCCCCCAAGUGUGCCAAAGCAGGAAGACACGAUGUGUGUGAUUGCCCUUCUAUCUACGAUGAUUAAUAGUUUCGGUAUCACAUUAAUUCACAGAAUUCGAGUCUUGUAAUCGUCCACUGUUUACCGAUCGACCCUGGCAAUAAAGAAUGAUUGAAUAAUGAAAAGAAUCGAUA